rnacentral:rRNA from 1 species
GUGGGGAAUAUUGGACAAUGGGCGCAAGCCUGAUCCAGCAAUGCCGCGUGGGUGAAGACGGCCUGCGGGUUGUAAAGCCCUUUAGGCGGGGAGGAACGGUCGGGUGCCAAUACCACCCGGCGCUGACGUUACCCGCAGAAUAAGCACCGGCUAACUCCGUGCCAGCAGCCGCGGUAAUACGGAGGGUGCGAGCGUUAAUCGGAAUUACUGGGCGUAAAGCGUGCGUAGGCGGUAGCGUCAGUCAGCCGUGAAAGCCCCGGGCUUAACCUGGGAACGGCGGUUGAGACGGCGCAACUCGAGUGGGCUAGAGGAUCGUGGAAUUCCGGGUGUAGCGGUGAAAUGCGUAGAGAUCCGGAGGAACACCGAUGGCGAAGGCAGCGGUCUGGGGCCACACUGACGCUGAGGCACGACAGCGUGGGGAGCAAACAGGAUUAGAUACCCCAGUAGUCC